GACGAACGCUGGCGGCGUGCUUAACACAUGCAAGUCGAACGGAAAGGCCCUGCUUUUGUGGGGUGCUCGAGUGGCGAACGGGUGAGUAACACGUGAGUAACCUGCCCUUGACUUUGGGAUAUCUUCAGGAAACUGGGGCUAAUACCGGAUAGGAGCUCCUGCUGCAUGGUGGGGGUUGGAAAGUUUCGGCGGUUGGGGAUGGACUCGCGGCUUAUCAGCUUGUUGGUGGGGUAGUGGCUUACCAAGGCUUUGCCGGGUAGCCGACCUGAGAGGGUGACCGCGCACAUUGGGACUGAGAGACGGCGCAGACUCCUACGGGAGACAGCGGUGGGGAGUAUUGCACAGUGGGCGGGAGCCUGAGGCGGCGACGCCGCGUGCGUAAUGACGUCCUUCGGGUUGUGAACCGCUUUCGCCUGUGACGAAGCGUGAGUGACGGUAAUGGGUGAAGAAGCACCGGCUAACUACGUG
rnacentral:rRNA from 1 species